UACGUAGGUGGCAAGCGUUGUCCGGAUUUACUGGGCGUAAAGAGCGCGCAGGCGGUCGUUCAAGUCGCGUGUGAAAGCCCCCGGCUCAACUGGGAGGGUCACGCGAUACUGAUCGACUGGAAGGCAGGAGAGGGUAGUGGAAUUCCCGGUGUAGUGGUGAAAUGCGUAGAUAUCGGGAGGAACACCAGUGGCGAAGGCGACUACCUGGCCUGUUCUUGACGCUGAGGCGCGAAAGCUAGGGGAGCAAACGGG
rnacentral:rRNA from 1 species